rnacentral:lncRNA from 10 species
UAGUCCGAGGAACAGUAGUGAGAAAACAUCAAUUCAGGCCAACAACUUUCUCUCCUCAAUUCGUUUUCAAAUCCUUCCUGCUAUUUAUUUUUGAGACAGAUUCUUAUGCUCUCACUCAGGCUGGAGUGUACUGAUGUGAUCUCGGCUCACUGCAACCUCUGUCUCCUGGGUUCAAGCGAUUCUCCUGCCUCAGCCUCCUGAGUAGCCACAAUUACAGGCAUGCGCCACCAUGCCUGGCUAAUUUUUGUAUUUUUAGUAGAGACAGGGUUACACCAUGUUGGCCAGGCUUCUCUCGACCUCCUGACCUCAGGUGAUCCACCCACCUCGGCCUCCCGAAGUGCUGGGAUUACAGGCGUGAGCCACCACACCCAGCCUCCUUCCUGCUAUUAUAACUUCAAAAGAUUAUAACAAAUUAUCCUUCUUUUGUGAAUGCAUGUGUUACAGGAUGAGACACUAAUUUGUGCUGUUUCCCUGUGGUUUUCCUACCUCCAAUGAGAAAGCCUCAUUGAUAUUUCUAUUACAGAGCCUGAAGCAGAUGCUACCUUGUGGACACCUUAAUUCUAACCUUAGAUCCUAAAGCCCAUGUUUAUUGAAAGUUGAUGUUGAUCUUUACCAGACAGGCGAGGAAAGCAGCUACUUCCCUUGCACGGAAGAAGAAACCAAGGCAAGGGGAAAUGGGAGAUUUGCAGGACUGCAAGGGUGAGUCCACUUGGACCACCAUCUCUUCUUUUUUGCAGGAUGAAGGGAAAGGCCUGGAAGAGAAUGGAUCUCAAGAGAAUGACUGUACCACUAAGGCUUGAACAAAAUCCCAGAAUCCAACCUGGGCCCCACUGCAGCAGCCACAAAUUCUGCUUUACUGGACAAGGAGCCCAUCACCAGUGACUUAAACAGAUGACCAGAGGUCCUGUUCCUCUGUUUAGCUGGCACAAGCCCUUGAAUCUGCACAUGAAUUGGGGAUUAACAUGCACGGAUAUUGUUGGAGCAUCAUCACCUUGCUACGCUGAGUGCUACUAUGACAAAAGCUGACAGUUUAGUAGGAAUGGUGAUGUCUCUGCAAUGAAGAUACCACGUAAGAUUCCUGUAUAAUUUAAGCACCGCACCGAUGAAGUUGAAUGUUUUGCUGGUCGUUUCCUGAUAUACUGUGAGGCAAUAUUGUUGGAAUCUCCAGAGCUGGGGACUGGGGAAAGAGCUGGCAGUGCCUAUGAGUUUAUCAUCCUGACAGGAGCUGGAACAGCACCAAUUUCACUUAAACCUUAAGCAAACAGUCCAGUGUGUACAUGUGGCUUUAAACCAAAGUUAUGUAACUUCUGAGUUGCUUUUUGUUGUUUUAACACUAUUAUUUGAUUCUUUCAAUAUUCUAAAACCUACAUCCAUUUCCUUGAUACAGGAUAAUUACAUAUUUGUAACACAGAUAUCAUAAAUAUUAUUAAAAUAUUUUUCUUCAGUUUGGCUGUUUUCUUUAUCAUUUUUGCUAAAUAACAAGCUAUGUUCAAUAUGUUUGAUGAAACUUUGAAAAAAAUACCUUUUGUCGUCUAAUCUGGAUGUAUAUUCUUGAUUUGUCAUCAACAAGCAGAGGAAAACCUUUCAUUGGUUUUGGUGAAAGAAAAAUUUAUUUCCUCUUCAGCCAGGUCUGAACGAUUCUUCUUGAAGCUAUGCAUGCACUCCCAAAUAUUUUCUCCUGGCAAAUCAAUGGCUGGAAAUGUGCUUCAUGAUCUUUUUUUCUAAGUGGUGACAGGGCUAAAUGUUUCCUAAAACUGAGGCCUGAAGAGAGAAUCUGGUCUGACAUCCAGCAUACAGUAGAAGAUAUCUACUACCAGUGGGUCUUCUACCCUCCUUACAAGGGAACACAGGUGUAAGAGAAAAACAGAGAACACUAUUUUUAUGUAUAAAUUAUUGGGGGUAGUCGCUAGCUUUUGAAAUUUGGAUUUAAGUAUUCUUUAUUUUGAACUCUCUUUCUUACACUUGCUGUCUGUCCAUCUGGCCAUCUCAAAUGAGAAAGAGGAUUCUGACAAAAGAGAACUUAAGAUGAAAGAUGCACCCUGACCAGAGGCAUCCAUAGUACCCAAAAGAGAAACACAGCGGGAAGACUACUGAUACUAAAACAUCUGUUUGUGAACAUAUGGAAAAUCCAAUUAUAAGAACAGGGGUGCCUGUGAAGCAGACAGACUAAAAUGGUGAAUUUAAACUGGUUCUCUGCAUAAAUUAAGCAAAAUUCUUUUCUCUGUUACAUCGUCGCACUUUUUAAAUUUGCAUGCAUGUCUGUGUGUUUAUCGAGAUUUGUUGCCCAGGCUGAAGUACAGUGGUGUGAUCUUGGCUCACUGCAACCUCCGCCUCCCAGGUUCAAAUGAUUCUUGUGCCUCAGCCUCCUGAGUAGCGGAUAUUCCAGGCACCCGCCACCACGCCCAGCUAAAUUUUUGUAUUUUUAGUAGAGACAGGGUUUCACCAUGUUGGUCAGGCUGGUCUUGAACUCCUGACCUCAAGUGAUUGGCCCACCUCAGCCUCCCAAAGUGCUGGGAUUACAGGCAUGAGCCACCACCCAGCCUAAUAUAGUCUUGACUUUUUAAAACUCAAUCAUUUGGUAUUGAUCAAGCUGAUCCCGUGAAGACUGAGGGCAUAGGCAGGCAAUCCAGAAGCAUCUGUGUGGCCAAGCACACUCUAGAGUCAAGCACCUGCUAGGAUGAGUCAAAACAGGCACCAGGCACGGUUUAUUUACAGAAUACAUGUAGUUCCCACCCCAAAGGAAAUGUAUUUCUCCAGGAUGAGUUUUUCACUAUUUGUAUAUCAAACAUUGUCAGUAUUUAAUAGACAAGGAAUAAUUAAAGCAAUCAAUUUCUUUUUUUGUAAAUAAUUUUAAGUACACAAAUAAUUUAGAAUAACUAUAGAAAUCUAGGAAAACAUUCUCUAUAACGCCACAAUCCCCAAAUAAAUAUUAUUUAGAACUUGUGUGGGUGGGCGCAGCAGCUCACACCUGUAUCCCAGCACUUUGCGGGGCUGAGGUGGGCAGAUCACCUGAGGUCAGGAGUUCGAGAUCAGCCUGGCCAACAUGGCGAAACCUCGUCUCUACUAGAAAUACAAAAAUUAGCUGGGCAAGGUGGCGCACACCUGUAGUCCCAGCUAUUCAGGAGGCUGAGGCAAGAUAAUCACUUGAACCCAGGAGUUGGAGUUUGCAGUGAGCUGAGAUUAUGCCACUGAACUGUAGCCUGGGUGACAGAGCAAGACUCCAUCUUAAAAAAAAAAAAAAUUGUGGGCAUUUUUCUGAAUAUUUUACUCUCUGAUUUCUAAAUCACACACACAUGCACACACACACAUACAGAACUGUCUAUUCUGAGUUUAUCAAUCAUAUAAUCAUAUAUAAUUUUUUCCUGUCCCCUAGUUACUUCACAUUUUUAAUGGCUGUAUAAUAUUCCAUGUUGUGAAUGUCUUCUAAUUUACUUUUCACAAUGCUUUUAAAUCUUGAGACAUUAUUGAUUAAGAAUUUUUAAUGAGGAAUGGAAUUACAAGGUAUGGUUAGUUUAACUGAUUUUCGAUAUAUGAUUUAAAGUAUUUUGGUUUCUCACUUCUUAAAGGAGGCAGUAAACACCCAUAUGACAUCUGCUAAGACACAAAAAGCUGCUCAUUAAAGGUGGAGAACAUAAUUAUUACGACCAGGUGAAAUUCCUUCAAUUAUUUUGUUUUUAACAUUGAAUUAAAUUAUAGUUUUUGUUAAGCUUUCAAUAUUCCUGAGACUCACUGACAGAUGGCUGUGUUCUUACAUUUUGCUUCCCUCUGCUAGGGUUGUAUUUAUGUGUAUGUGCUCAUGUAAUUUUCGUGAACUGCAUGGAGGAAGUAAGGCAUUCAGAAUAGAAGGUGUCGGGAACCCGUUUUUAUCCACACCAAAUGUCCUUGGCUGUUUCCAAAAAUUUGCUUUAAGUCAAAGUAUUUAAGUCUUCAUUUUUAGGGCCCAGUGAUUCAUUGUGUUUAUAAUUUUCAUUUGAAAUCCAAUUAAAAAUCUUUGAAAAGCUCAUUGGUCUUGAGUUGUUCUAUCUUUUUAAAUCAAUGAUGGAUUAUGUUACUUAAGAUAGGAGUGAAAUUAAACAGCAGCUUUUCUUUAAUGUGUGAGGAGUGCAAAAUAAAACUAUAUUUUUUAGAAUAUUUAUGCUUCUACCCAUGAAAAAAUCUAACUACCCACAUAUAUGUUUCUUGAAAACGAU